CUACCACCACCGCGUGUAAUGUGGACUCGAACAGGACAGGACGCCAAAACUGUCCUACAAAAUUUUCACUAAUUUUUGUGCUUUCAUCAGGAGCGGUGCUCGUUAAAACCAUCUCGGAAUUGAUAUCAGGAAAAGAAGCGCAACCAACAAAAACCAAGGCGCAACCACAGAUAGCCGGCAUCAUGAGGCGUUCGGCUGGAACAACAGUCUCACAAAAUUUGAUGACUAUCUCAGGACAAAUUGAGCCUGGAACGGAACGAUAUACCUCCAGCGGACAUUCUCGCACGCACAAAUGAGAUGGUUGAAUAAAUCGCUGUAAAAUGUAAACACCAAAA